rnacentral:misc_RNA from 1 species
GGAAAGGGAAAAAAGCUCAUUCAUUCAUAUAUACAAAAGACGUCUACACUUUGCAAGUACAAGCGAAAAACAGAAACAAAAUCCAAUUGGAUCACGUACAAAAAGCCAGAGGGGUAGAAAUGCACGAUUCAAACCAGAUCCGUAGAUACUCGAUUAACAAAACAUUUCAAAAAUACAAAGCAUUAGGCCUUGUUCUUGAUAAUACUCGCGUAAGAGCAUGUCAAUUUUGUUCUACCAGAACGAAAUAGAUCUCUUGGAGCCAGAGGAGGGAGGGCUGAUCUGUGGAACAGUAAAUGCAUCAUCAGCCCACCUUCUGUUGUUACCUUUCAUGUUCGUGGUCUCUUUUGUCUCCUUUAACCCAAUUUGCUCUCCCAUCUGUGGAUAAUGUUGAGAUGGGUAUAGAGGAGUUGGCGCUUUAGGGACCCAGAUUCCCAUGGUUUCCGAAGAGAAAGGGGUAAUAUUGCUCCCAAGGUCAUUACCCACAAACGGCAAUAUCCCAUCAUCAGGCUUACAGAAACCAAAGGGAGUAGAAGGGAAAUCAAGAAGGUCUUCGACAUGCCAGCCUGGCAGCGUCUCCAUCAAGUACUCUGAUAUACUGCUUGUUGAACCAAUUCCUUCAUUUAUUAGCGGAUUAUCGCCUUCCUUGUUCACUGUUGCGUCAGAGAAUACGCCCUUGUUCACCGUCGUAUUUGAGGAUAAGGGCUUGUUCACCGUCGUAUUUGAGGAUAAGGGCUUGUUCACUGUUGAGUUUGGAGUUGAGGUCUUAGCAAUUGAAGGUGGAUGAGAACUUGGGAGGGAGAGGGACACAGAUUUCUUGGUCGAUGGCUGUUUUUGAGACUUGGAAUCAGGAACAAGAUCACCGCGGUCGGUUACAAAGGAGGAGGAAGAGGAGGAGGAGGAGGAUAUAUAAAGGGCAGAGGCGGCAGAGAGCUUAACUCCAGUGAGAAGGAACCUAUUAUGCUUCUGGGUAUGCUCGUUGGCCUUGUGUAUCGAAACAUCACAGUCUCUGCAAAGAAUCGCUCUAUCUUGUUGACAAAACAAGAAAGCCCGUUUCUCCUGGCAGACAUCACAGAGAGGGGAGUUUUUAGAUGUAGGAUGGACAAGGGAAAAACGUUGGUGCUUGGAGGCGAGUUUGUUGGCGUGGUGGACGCGGUGGUCGCAGGCGUCACAGAGGGCACCCUCGUCGGCCGUGCAGAACACGGACGCCUCUUCUUUGCUACAGACAUCGCACUGGAUCUUCAUCUAGUAGUAGAACUGAGGGUAUAACCUAUAAUAUGCUAAGCCAGCCUUCUAAAGAUAGAAAGAAAGCUGUUUUCCGAGGCAAAGGAAAGCAAUAGCUGUUAUGGUGAGAGAGAGCAGAUAUUAAAAUAGUACACUAGGUACUAGGAGACAGGAGUGUCUUACCUCUCAAUGCUUUCGUUCUCUUUUUCUGUGUUUGACUCUGCUCUCUGCCAUGGCGUUCUGGAUCGGGGUCUCAAAUUGCUGCGUUUUCU